GACGAACGCUGGCGGCGUGCUUAACACAUGCAAGUCGAGGGGGUUCGUGGGGCAACUCACGGAUCACCGGCGAACGGGUGCGUAACACGUGAGCGACCUGCCGUACCUGUGGGGGAUAGCCGGCCCAACGGCCGGGUAAUACCGCAUACGCUUGUCUUGGGGCAUCCUGGGACAAAGAAAGCUCUGGGGGCAACCCUGGGGCGCAGGACGAGGGGCUCGCGGCCUAUCAGCUAGUUGGCGGGGAACGGCCCACCAAGGCGGUGACGGGUAGCUGGUCUGAGAGGAUGGCCAGCCACAUUGGGACUGAGAGACGGCCCAGACUCCUACGGGAGGCAGCAGUGGGGAAUCUUGGACAAUGGGGGAAACCCUGAUCCAGCGAUGCCGCGUGAGCGAAGAAGGCCUUAGGGUUGUAAAGCUCUUUCGCCCGCGACGAUAAUGACGGUAGCGGGAGAAGAAGCCCCGGCUAACUCCGUGCCAGCCGCCGCGGUAAC
rnacentral:rRNA from 1 species